GUCUACGCCUACGCCACCCUGAACAAGCCCGAUGUCUCAUCUCAGAAGCUGAGCAGGGUCAGGCCCGGUUAGUACUCGGGUGGGAGACCACCUAGGAAGACCAGGUGCUGUAGGCA
rfam:Pteropus alecto contig107981, whole genome shotgun sequence.